rnacentral:rRNA from 1 species
GCGUAGGGAGCGAGCGUUGUCCGGAUUUACUGGGCGUAAAGGGCGCGUAGGCGGUCUGUUAAGCGUGAAGUGAAAUCUCCAGGGCUCAACCCGGAAACUGCUUUGCGAACUGGCAGACUAGAGGAAGGUAGAGGUGAAUGGAAUUCCCGGUGUAGCGGUGACAUGCAUUGAUAUCGGGAGGAACAUCAGUGGCGAAGGCGGCCUUCUGGACCAGUACUGACGCUGAGGUGCGAAAGCGUGGGGAGCAAACAGGA